AACGAACGUUAGCGGCGCGCCUAACACAUGCAAGUCGCACGAGAAAGGGCUUCGGCCCCGGUACAGUGGCGCACGGGUGAGUAACACGUGGGUAAUCUGCCUUCGAGUUGGGGAUAACAUUCCGAAAGGAGUGCUAAUACCGAAUAAGACCACGCCUCGAAAGAGGAAGCGGUCAAAGCUGACCUCUAUAUAUAAGUUAGCGCUUGAUGAUGAGCCCGCGGAGCAUCAGCUAGUUGGUGAGGUAAUGGCUCACCAAGGCUUAGACGCUUAGCUGGUCUGAGAGGAUGAUCAGCCACACUGGAACUGAGACACGGUCCAGACUCCUACGGGAGGCAGCAGUGGGAAUCUUGCGCAAUGGGCGAAAGCCUGACGCAGCGACGCCGCGUGAGUGAUGAAGGCCUU
rnacentral:rRNA from 1 species